AGAGUUUGAUUAUGGCUCAGGAUGAACGCUGGCGGCGUGCUUAACACAUGCAAGUCGAGCGGAGUAAUAUGAAGUUUCGGACAGAUUAUACUUAGUGGCGGACGGGUGAGUAACGCGUGGGUAACCUACCUCAUACAGGGGGAUAACAGUUGGAAACGACUGCUAACACCGCAUAACAAGUUGGGACCGCAUGAUCCUAACUUCAAAUAUUUAUAGGUAUGAGAUGGGCCCGCGUCUGAUUAGCUAGUUGGUGGGGUAAUGGCCUACCAAGGCGACGAUCAGUAGCCGGCUUGAGAGAGUGACCGGCCACAUUGGGACUGAGACACGGCCCAAACUCCUACGGGAGGCAGCAGGUGGGGAAUAUUGGACAAUGGGGGCAACCCUGAUCCAGCGAACCGCCGCGUGAGUGAAGAAGUAUUUCGGUAUGUAAAGCUCUAUCAGCAGGGAAGAUAAUGACAGUACCUGACUAAGAACGCCCCGGCUAACUACGUGCCAGCAGCGGC
rnacentral:rRNA from 1 species